CCUACGGGUGGCAGCAGUGAGGAAUAUUGGUCAAUGGGAGGAAUGCUGAACCAGCCAUGCCGCGUGCAGGACGACGGCUCUACGAGUUGUAAACUGCUUUUGUACCGGGGUAAAAUGCUCUACGAGUAGGGGUUUGAAAGUACGGUACGAAAAAGCAUCGGCUAACUCCGUGCCAGCAGCCGCGGUAAUACGGAGGAUGCGAGCGUUAUCCGGAUUCAUUGGGUUUAAAGGGUGCGGAGGUUGUUUUGUAAGUUAGGGGUUAAAUACCGAGGCUCAACAUCGGGGCUGCCGCUAAUACUGUAUGACUAGAGAUCGGAUGCAGCAGGCGGAAUGUGUAGUGUAGCGGUGAAAUGCAUAGAUAUUACACAGAACUCCGAUUGCGAAGGCAGCUUGCUAGGCCCGAUCUGACACUGAUGCACGAAAGCGUGGGUAUCGAACAGGAUUAGAUACCCGUGUAGUC
rnacentral:rRNA from 1 species